GUGCUCCCCGCUAAUGGCUAGUCAGCCGAUGGGACUCAACGUCAGGGUUUUUUAGGCAGCGGCGUCAACGCAUUCUGGGACGGUCGUAAGCUGAACUGCGGGGGAGGAUGCGCUCCAUACGACACUGCUCUUUUCGGUGAUCUGGUGCUCGCAGACCAAUAUGGCUCGUACUGGAUCCAGAUUCCUGGUUCCGGCCCCGGCGCCAGAGAAUCACACGCGAUGGCCUUCGAUUCCGUCCGUGGCGUCACGGUCGUGUUCGGGGGCGAGGUCAACGGCGGCCUUGCGCUAAAUGAUACAUGGAUCUCUGACGGCAUAAGCUGGACGAAUGGAGCAGUAGGGCCGGAUGCGCGCUGGGGUCAUGCGAUGGACUUCGAUUCAGCUCGGGGUUCAACCGUUCUGUUCGGGGGCUCCAACAAUGGAUAUUAUUACGGUGACACGUGGCUGUUCGAUGGUGCUGUAUGGAAUAGUGGUCCCUCUACGGGUCCCCCUGCCAGGGGCCACCAUGCUAUGGCGUUCGAUUCCGCACGAAAUGUCACGGUUUUAUUCGGCGGUUAUACGUGCCAGGGCUGCCCUUGCUCCACCUUUUGGAGGGACACCUGGCUAUUUGACGGCACAACCUGGACACAGAGUCUGGCGUUAGGUCCUACCGCGCGAGCCUUUCACGCGAUGGCGUUCGAUUCCGCGCGGAAUGUCACCGUGUUAUUUGGUGGCAGUGCCACGACCAGUACCUAUGGUUGUAACAACGUCUUAGGAGACACUUGGGAGUUCGACGGCACCACUUGGACUCAGGUCCCCAUAUCCGGUCCGAGUCCGAGUCCGCGCGUGCUUUCAUUCGUAUGGCCUUUCGAUUCAGCGCGAGGCGUGACGGUCCUGUUCCGCGGCAACAACGGCCCCAGCGACCUGAAGCACCCCUGGG
rnacentral:rRNA from 1 species